GUGCUCUCUUUGGGAGCACAUAUACUAAAAUUGAAAUGAUAGCUUGGCCUCUGAGCAACGAUGAUAUGCAUAUUUGUGGAGUGUUCCAUAUUUUU
ensembl:snRNA U6 U6 spliceosomal RNA